GUAGUCUCGCACAGAUGCAUAUCAAUAAGCGGAGGAAAAGAAACUAACAAGGAUUCCCCUAGUAACGGCGAGUGAAGCGGGAAGAGCUCAAAUUUGAAAUCUUAAAGGGUUUCCCUUUACGAAUUGUAGUUUAAAGAAGUGUUUUCUGUUGAGGUUUUGGUAAAAGUUCUUUGGAAUAGGACAUCAUAGAGGGUGAGAAUCCCGUAUUUGACCUUUACUUUCAACUUUGUGAUACACUUUCAAAGAGUCGGAUUGUUUGGGAAUGCAGUCCAAAAUGGGUGGUAAAUUUCAUCUAAAGCUAAAUAUUGGCGAAGGAGACCGAUAGCGAACAAGUACCGUGAGGGGAAAGAUGAAAAGAACUUUGAAAAGAGAGUUAAACAGUACGUGAAAUUGUCAAAAGGGAAGCGUUUGACACCAGUGUUGUUUUUCUGAAAAUCAAUUAAAGAACUGUUUAUGCUAAGCUGUUUAGACUUUAUCAGCUAUCUGUUUAGUUUUGAGCUUUUCUUUAAUGCACUUUUCAGUUAACAAGUCAACAUCAAUUUCUUUUGCUGUAAAAAAAGCUUGAGGAAGGUGGCUUGAGAUUCGUCUUAAGUGUUUAUAGCCUCUUGCCUAUGCAGUCGGAGAGAUUGAGGUCUGCAGCGUAGAUCCUUCGGGGCUAAAUGCAUUUGUGCUAAGUUAUAAGCAUUUUAUAGACGAACUUGUUGACUAUGAUUUGUCUUGUAGCUUACUCGCUUAUGUUAUUUUACCUACGCUUAGGAUGUUGACAGCAGUAUAGACUGU
rnacentral:rRNA from 1 species